rnacentral:ncRNA from 1 species
AAGUUUUAUUCUUGCUUUAUUAUUCAUUUGUACUUUAUUAUACAUGUAAGUUUUUGCUUUGAAUGGGUAUAAUCUAAAGGAAGACUAUAUAUUUAUUUGCAGUAUGGAAUAUUAUAUAUUCAUGAGAAUUUGAUAUAGUAAUUGUGUAUUAGUAUUGAUUAAAUAUGUGCCAGCAGUCGCGGUUAUACAUGGAAUAUAAGUGAAUAUUUUUAGUUUAUAGUUAAUUGGUAAUAUGUAUAAAUUUAUUUUAGUGGUUAUUUGGUGGAAUAUUAAUUAUUGUUUAAAUUUUAUUAGGUUAAUGAAGCUGUGAAAUCUGGGAUGUUAAACUAGGAUUAGAUACCCUAUUAUUUUAGAUGUGAAGUUUUGGCUUGAGUAGUAAUUGAUGUGGUCUUGAAACUCAAAGAAUUUGGCGGUAUUUUAGUCUGUUUAGAGGAAUCUGUUUCAUAAUCGAUAGUCCGCGAUGGAUCUUACUUAAUUUGUUAUAAUAUGUAUACCGCUGUUGAUAAAUGUCUUUUUAGGGGAAUUUUUAUUGUAUUUAUAAUGAAUAGUUAAUCAAGUCAAGGUGCAGUUGAUAAUUAAGUGAUAAUGGAUUACAAUAUUUUAGAGUAUAUGAAUUAUUUAAUUGUAAUAUUAAUAUGAAGGUGGAUUUAAUAGUAAAGUUGUGUAGAUUAUCAAUUUGAUUUUAGCUCUAUAAUAUGUACACAUCGCCCGUCGCUCUCAUUAUAAGUUGAGAUAAGUCGUAACAUAGUAGUUGUACUGGAA